rnacentral:lncRNA from 1 species
UUUGGAUUGGGUUGUUUAAACUUGUUUGAGAUUGGUUUCCGUUCAAGUCGUCGUUUUUAAUUUGUGGACUCGAUUCAAUUUCAGCCACCACCGCCUCCCUCGCGGUGGUGGUCGGUAGCUCUUUGUGAUGGCUCUGGUCUCUGUGUGUGUUGUACUAUUUGUUUUCGUACUAUUUGGGGCUUUGUUUUUUGUUCAUGUUCUUAUCAGAGAUUGAGUGGUAACAUUUGGUUUCGUAAACCCUCGAUAGUGUUUGUAUUGUUAGGAUUGAUUAGGGAAAUUUUACAUGUGGUUUGUAUGAUCAUGAUGUUUCUCGUUUGUGUUGUAACUGGGUCAGGUCAGGUCUAAUGUUCCUUAAUCUCUGUAUCUUUUUAUUUUUAUUUAAUAUAUUUAUCCUCUUGUUUUAAAAAGAAAUUAAUAGCAGAAGAUGAAGUAUUGUAUGUCGACAUUAAGUUGGAAUUUAUGUAUCAAAGCUACAAUUUUAUCAAAUAAAAUAAAAAAGCUACAAUUUUAUC